rnacentral:rRNA from 1 species
GACGAACGCUGGCGGCGUGCUUAACACAUGCAAGUCGAACGGUGAAGCUCCAGCUUGCUGGAGUGGAUCAGUGGCGAACGGGUGAGUAACACGUGAGCAACCUGCCCCAGACUCUGGAAUAAGCGCUGGAAACGGCGUCUAAUACUGGAUACGAGAUCAAGCCGCAUGGUUAUGGUCUGGAAAGUUUUUCGGUUUGGGAUGGGCUCGCGGCCUAUCAGCUUGUUGGUGAGGUAAUGGCUCACCAAGGCGACGACGGGUAGCCGGCCUGAGAGGGCGACCGGCCACAAUGGGACUGAGACACGGCCCAGACUCCUACGGGAGGCAGCAGUGGGGAAUAUUGCACAAUGGGCGAAAGCCUGAUGCAGCGACGCCGCGUGAGGGAUGACGGCCUUCGGGUUGUAAACCUCUUUCAGCAGGGAAGAAGCGAAAGUGACGGUACCUGCAGAAGAAGCACCGGCUAACUACGUG